GACGAACGCUGGCGGCGUGCUUAACACAUGCAAGUCGAACGCUGAAGCUCAGCUUUUGUUGGGUGGAUGAGUGGCGAACGGGUGAGUAACACGUGAGUAACCUGCCUCCUUCUUUGGGAUAACGCCCGGAAACGGGUGCUAAUACUGGAUAUUCACUGGUCUUCGCAUGGGGGUUGGUGGAAAGGGUUUUUCUGGUGGGGGAUGGGCUCGCGGCCUAUCAGCUUGUUGGUGGGGUGAUGGCCUACCAAGGCUUUGACGGGUAGCCGGCCUGAGAGGGUGACCGGUCACAUUGGGACUGAGAUACGGCCCAGACUCCUACGGGAGGCAGCAGUGGGGAAUAUUGCACAAUGGGCGCAAGCCUGAUGCAGCGCCGCCGCGUGAGGGAUGGAGGCCUUCGGGUUGUGAACCUCUUUCGCUCAUGGUCAAGCCGCAACAAUGGUUGUGGUGAGGGUAGUGGGUAAAGAAGCGCCGGCUAACUACGUG
rnacentral:rRNA from 1 species